UGACCAAUUGGCGGGCGGCUUAACACAUGCAAGUCGAGCGGUAGAGAGGUGCUUGCACCUCUUGAGAGCGGCGGACGGGUGAGUAAUGCCUAGGAAUCUGCCUGGUAGUGGGGGAUAACGCUCGGAAACGGACGCUAAUACCGCAUACGUCCUACGGGAGAAAGCAGGGGACCUUCGGGCCUUGCGCUAUCAGAUGAGCCUAGGUCGGAUUAGCUAGUUGGUGGGGUAAUGGCUCACCAAGGCGACGAUCCGUAACUGGUCUGAGAGGAUGAUCAGUCACACUGGAACUGAGACACGGUCCAGACUCCUACGGGAGGCAGCAGUGGGGAAUAUUGGACAAUGGGCGAAAGCCUGAUCCAGCCAUGCCGCGUGUGUGAAGAAGGUCUUCCGAUUGUAAAGCACU
rnacentral:rRNA from 1 species